rnacentral:rRNA from 1 species
UACGGGGGGGGCAAGCGUUGUUCGGAAUUACUGGGCGUAAAGGGCUCGUAGGCGGCUCAGUAAGUCGGGUGUGAAACCUCCAGGCUCAACCUGGAGACGCCACUCGAUACUGCUGUGGCUAGAGUCCGGUAGGGGAGCAUGGAAUUCCUGGUGUAGCGGUGAAAUGCGCAGAUAUCAGGAGGAACACCAGUGGCGAAGGCGGUGCUCUGGGCCGGAACUGACGCUGAUGAGCGAAAGCGUGGGGAGCAAACAGG